UUUCACAUAGACGCAAUAGUGGGUAAACAAACAGUCACUCUUUCACUAUCUCUUUCUUUCUCCUCUCUUCUUUCCUUGUCUUCAACUUCUCACAGCCUCAGGGUUUCUCAUUCAUCACUACUCUCAUCCAUGACGAUCUGUCGCACUCUUCAUCGUUACAUCUGAAGCACGGACGCAGGCGAUCUAUCGCACUCAUUCGUCUUCACUCUCAUUGCAAUGAUCUUCUUGUUGCAGUGGCAAUUUCGAAUCCAAAUUAAGGUCACGCGCCAUAGACUGUUUGAUCCGUCUGUUCAGACUAUUCUGUUACUGGAGCUAUCUGUGAGUAAUAACUCUGUAAAGGUGAUCAGGCGUGUGACCAAGCUCAGUGAUGAUUGCCUGGAGAUCUGUUUUGUCAACCAACCAUUUCGCCUCCCGAGGAGGUUCCCAAGUUAAGGUGUGGUCAUGUUUUUGCAAAGAAGUUUCUAAGUUUUUGUCUUCUUCUAUUUGUCUAAACAAUUUUUGCACACUCUGUAUUUAGGGCUAAGUCCCUUUGACUGUAUCUGUAUUAGUGACGUAAGACUAACAUGAAUAUGACGUCAUAUAUAUGUUUAUAAGUUUUAAGUUUUUUGUCCCAUGUAUGUCUAUACAACUUAAUGGACAUUAUAUUCUGAUAUUUGUUU